CAGUAGCCGCGGUAAUACGUAGGUGGCAAGCGUUGUCCGGAAUUAUUGGGCGUAAAGGGCUCGCAGGCGGUUUCUUAAGUCUGAUGUGAAAGCCCCCGGCUCAACCGGGGAGGGUCAUUGGAACCUGGGAAACUUGAGUGCAGAAGAGGAGAGUGGAAUUCCACGUGUAGCGGUGAAAUGCGUAGAGAUGUGGAGGAACACCAGUGGCGAAGGCGACUCUCUGGUCUGUAACUGACGCUGAGGAGCGAAAGCGUGGGGAGCGAACAGGAUUAGAUACCCCAGUAGUCCCUGUCUCUUAUAC
rnacentral:rRNA from 1 species